GAGCGGCGAACGGGUGAGUAACACGUGGGUGAUCUGCCUCGCACUCUGGGAUAAGCCUGGGAAACUGGGUCUAAUACCGGAUAUGAGCACGGUCUGCAUGGACUGUGUUGGAAAGGUUUACUGGUGCGAGAUGGGCCCGCGGCCUAUCAGCUUGUUGGUGGGGUAAUGGCCUACCAAGGCGACGACGGGUAGCCGACCUGAGAGGGUGACCGGCCACACUGGGACUGAGACACGGCCCAGACUCCUACGGGAGGCAGCAGUGGGGAAUAUUGCACAAUGGGCGAAAGCCUGAUGCAGCGACGCCGCGUGAGGGAUGACGGCCUUCGGGUUGUAAACCUCUUUCGACAGGGACGAAGCGCAAGUGACGGUACCUGUAGAAGAAGCACCGGCCAACUACGUGCCAGCAGCCGCGGUAAUACGUAGGGUGCGAGCGUUGUCCGGAAUUACUGGGCGUAAAGAGCUUGUAGGCGGUCUGUCACGUCGAUUGUGAAAACUUGGGGCUCAACCCCACGCUUGCAGUCGAUACGGGCAGACUAGAGUACUUCAGGGGAGACUGGAAUUCCU
rnacentral:rRNA from 1 species